GGCUAUAGCUCAGCGAGUAGGACAUCUGCCUGGCAUGCAGAAGUUUCCAGGUUCAAUCCCUGGCAUCUCCA